UAAUACGGAGGGGGCUAGCGUUGUUCGGAAUUACUGGGCGUAAAGAGUACGUAGGCGGAUCAAAAAGUUAGAUGUGAAAUCCCUAAGCUUAACUUAGGAACUGCAUUUAAAACUAAUGAUCUAGAAUUUGGUAGGGGAUAGUAGAAUUUCCAGUGUAGAGGUGAAAUUCGUAGAUAUUGGAAAGAAUACCAGUAGCGAAGGCGACUAUCUGGGCCAAAAUUGACGCUGAGGUACGAAAGCGUGGGUAGCAAACAGGAUUAGAUACCCUGGUAGUCCACGCAGUAAACGAUGAGUGCUAGUCGCUGGGUCUUAUGAUUCGGUGUCGAAGCUAACGCAUUAAGCACUCCGCCUGGGAAGUACGGUCGCAAGAUUA
rnacentral:rRNA from 1 species